ensembl:lncRNA
UUUUUUUUUUUUUUUUAAAUGUUGUACAACUCUUUUUAUUUUGAUAAAAUAUACAUAUGCUAAAAUUUACUAUUUUGACCAUUUUUAAGUGUGCAGUUUGGUGGCAUUAAGUACAUUCACAUUUUUUUGAAACAAUCACCGCCAUCCAUCUCCAGAACAUUCUCAUCAUCUGAAACUGGAACUCCAUACCCAUCCUCAGCUGAGCAGAGACCCUGCAGAGCUUCACUGGCUACCAGAUUUAUUUUUUAAACCAGAAAAUAUUUUAAAUUUAUAAUUCCAUAUUUAUAAUGUUGGCUUCAACCUUAUGAUUAUUCCUUGUCUGUACUUAAGUAUUUUUCACCAUUUGUGAAGAAAUAUUAAAAUAAGUGAAAUGGCAGUGAAACAGAGGGAAGGGGGCAGGGCACAGCCGUUAAAAGGAUGACCUAGGCCUUGAAGAUAUGACAAAAACUGGUGAGAACCAAAGAGGUCCAAGAUGGUGGAUGAUUUGACGUCCAGUGGAACUUGAGCUUCACUCUGCUCUCACUGUAACACGUUAGCUGAGUGACACGCCCACAGCCACCAUGACAGUUCCAAGGUCCACCAUGACAGUGGCCCAAUCCCUGGAACCCCCUGGCCUUUCCCAGAAAUAGUUGGAAUAAUCUUCCCCCAUAUUGGCCUAUGAAAUUGCCCAGCUCAUAAAAACUCAUCACCCCACAUUUCCGGGCCUCUCAUCUCUUACCGUCUAAAAUGGCCCCCACUCUGUCUGUGGAGUGUGUUUCUCCCAGGGCUGCUCUGUCAUCUUUUGAGAUGGCCCACACUUUGUCUCUCUCUCAGUAAAUCUACUUCUUUCCUAUCACUUUGCCGCUCACUGAAUUCCCCGUGCACUGAGGCAUAAAUAACUUGAACUUCAGUUAGUCCUGGGCUUAGUCAGCCCUGAGGUCCUCGUGGAUACUAGUUGUAUUCAUAACCUGCUGAGCCACAAUGGGAACUCCUCAGGUGUGUGAUUUUUUUUUUUUGUUUUCUUUUCUUUUUAGGGCCUCACCUGUGACAUAUGGAGGUUCUCAGGCUAGGGGUCAAAUUGGAGCGACAGCUGCUGGCCUACAUCACAGCCACAGCAACGUGGGAUCCGAGCCCCAUCUGUGACCUCCACUACAGCUCAAGGCAAUGCUGGAUCCCUGACCCACUGAGUGAGGCCAGAGAUUGAACCCACAUCCUCAUGGAUACCAGUCAGAUUCAUUUCUGCUGGGCUAUGAUGGGAACUUCCCAGGGAUGGAACCUGCAUCUUCACAGAGACAAUGUUGGGUCCUUAACCUGCUGAGCCGCAAUGGGAACUCCGAGAAUGGGAAGGAUUUAAAGUUAUACCUAUCAGUCCUCAUGUUCAGAAAGAGUAAGUUACAUGCCUAGGUCAUAUAAACCAAUAAGUGGUCCAGCUAGGGUCUGGAAUAGACCUGUCCUCCAUGCUGCCUCACUGCUCCUGAACCAGUACAGAUUUGAGCAGGGAAGGGAUCCUGACACCACCUGUGGCUGCUGCUUCUCAGGGGGUGAGGGCCACACUGAGACAUCUACUCACUCACUUGGUUCAGAGCCUUUUUGGUCUCAAGACCUCUUUAUACUCUUAAAAUGAUUGAAGAUUCCAAAAAGCUUUUGUCUGUGUGUAUUAAAUCUUCCGACAUUAACUCUGUAAGAAAUUGACACCGUGCACAUUUUAUAACCAGGAGCACAUAUUCCAUUAGCCCUCAGAGUGAUGGGGUCACUGCAUGUGGUAUAGCCUCUAGAAAUCUCCACUGUGCAUUCAUGAAAAUCCAGAGAGUGCAAAAAAGUCUUAAUAUUAUUAUGAAAAUACUUCGGACCUGUGGCCUCUUGAAAGCACCGUGGGGAUCUUCAAGGACCCCUACCACACUUUGAGAGCCACUGGAGUAACUGGUUGCAGAAGAAGUGGGGAGGGGUGGAGAGUCAAGGCUCUCAGGGAGUACCAGAGGCUGUAGGUAAGACUCUUCCAACACAAGCUCUCACUCACCUGUGGGCAUGCACUAUACCCAGUCUGAAUGCUCUUGGCAUUCCUCUCAUUAGCUGAUCUUGGUGGCCUGAUUUCAACCCCUACCAACCUCUGAGCCUGCUAUAGCAUUUCACAUUGGGGUUAGAGUGUGUUUAGACAUGCGUGUGGGCAUCUACUAUGCAAACCGCCAAUGGCAUUUGCUUUUUGGCAUUCUGGGGACAUGUGAACAGGCAAGAAUAUGGCUAUGGCAAGCUGUUCAGGUGAUGCCACUCACAUACAAUCUUUUUUUUUUUUUUUUUUUACUUUUAACUUUAGGAGGUGGUGCCAUUUUUCUGAUUUGCUCAAGGAUGCUCUCUAUGUUCAGUAUAGCUCUGAUGUGUGAUUGAGCACACUCUUUUGGGAGUCUAUGCUGGCCUCAGCAGGUCUGAAAUGGUUUAGGACUAGAAGAGGUAAGCCUUGAGCAGAUCAGUUCAAAGGGAUCCAGCUCAGAAAAAUUAAAUUAGUUAGGGUGAUUUACAUUUGCAAAGUGACCUAUAUGGCUGAACCAUUCCUGCAGGUUAAUCAAAUUGCUGAACUAAUAUGGAAUUUAAAGCUGGGAAUUCCCUGGCAAUGCCACGUUUAUGUUCUUAACCUUAAAUUAACUUCACCUUUAGCUUUUCCACUUAACUGCAUUCUAAUUUAUUACCAAAAAUCUUUGCCAUGAUUGACCUAUUUCCUAUUUGCCCUAAUGGACUUCUGGUGCUUUAGAUCCACUUCUGAGUUUUUAAGACAUUUUGAUUGUUUCAGUUUCCCACUCAGAGGGAAAUGUGGCCACAGCAGUGGUACCACUUCUCUCCAGUGACCUUCAUGGGCUCAGCGAUUGAUCUGAAGAUGAAUGAAAAUUGAGAGCAGCCCUGUAUUCCUCAAAGGUCAGAGGCUUGUUUGCAUCACAAGCUUGGAUUUGUAAAGUACCUCACUGUCCUUCCUGUGAGCAGUCCCUGUGCCUCACAGCUAGGUUUGAGGCACCCCAUGACAAUAAGCAAAAGUAGAAAAGUUGUGAAAUCCAGGUGGUAAGCCCUUUAAAUCAAUUAUAUGGUAUUUAAAAAUUGCUAUGCUCUCUCCAGGCUUGUAAAAAUGGCAGCCUAUUAAGGAGAAAAGUUUACUUUUAGUAUAGAAA